CCAAUGGGUCACACGGGUCGAUCCCAGCCAGAUUAUCACCAUGGCCUAGCCCCUGUCGAUCUGUCCGCCUCCAGGUGCCCCCGAGGCCCCGAGGCCCCGAAUCUCCCGGACCAUCUUCGUCGCCGCCCUCGACCAUCUCCGCCGCCACCCUCUACCGGUGGACGCCCUCGAUCAUCGCUGCAGCUGCCGAACGCCCCCGACCAUCUCUGGUGACUGCUGCAGCCGGACGCCGGACACCCCCGACCACCUGUGUCAGUGUCGCCGUUGGACGCCCAAGAGUAUCUUUGCUGUUGCCGUCAUUUCGCCUCGAGUAUGUCAUCCCGGACGCUGUCGAGCACGCCAUCCCGGUUGCCGUUCUCUCCAACUUGUUGGACGUAAGAAUUUCUUGCUGGUUUCCUUCAAGAUCCCGUUCACCUGCGCGAUUCCAAGACCGAGUUGAAUCUCAUGUUAUGCUCCUGCGUGAUUCCAAGACCCUGUUGAAUCUCAACUUCUAGCAGGAACACGCCAAACCAGAUCUAACUUAUUGAUGGAUGUCGUGCCGUGGUUGAGACAAUGAAGACUGAAGCUUUUUGCGGCAAUUGAUGUUAACCUCGAGUAGAUGAUGAAGCAAAAAGAUGUCAGCUUUCUCUAUAAUUUAGUGAAGUUUUGAAAUGUAAUCGCUGCUCCUUGAAAGAUGUAGCUUGAUGCUCAUUAAACCUGUAAUAUCGUCAACGAAUUUGAUUGUGAUGUACUGGCUGUGAAAAGAGUUGAAAAUGGACUUAUGCUUCCUUUGUAACUUCUAUUUAAUUCAUAUUAUCAUGUCUGCUCAUUA